rnacentral:tRNA from 2 species
AAUAAAAUGGCUGAGGUAUAAGCGAUAAAUUGUAAAUUUAUUUACGGGAAAUUUCUCUUUUAUUA